rnacentral:rRNA from 1 species
UUGACAAGCACUUUGAAAAGAGGGUGAAAAGAACCUGAAACCGUUACGGGGGAAGCGGAUUGCGUUGGAUUGAGGGGCCCGCGCUGUUCAGCCGUUUACGGUGUACUCAGUUGCGGUGCUUACCUGUCGUGGGCUUCUAGCGGUCGAUUUUGGGCAGCUAGGGGCUGAGGGCUCCCUAGCACAUGUUGCUAGGUGAGGACGAGCAGGGUGACGACGCGAUACGACCCGUCUUGAAACACGGACCAAGGAGUCUAGCGCAGGUGCGAGUCAAAGGGUUUUAAAACCUGAGGGCGCAGUGAAAGCAAACUUUAAAAACUUGCAGUUUGAGGCGGCAUACGAUCGUUGAUCGUAGGUCCGACCUAGAGCAGUUGCGCUAGGACCCGAAAGAUGGUGAACUAUGCCGGAGUAGGGCGAAGCCAGAGGAAACUCUGGUGGAGGCUCGUAGCGGUGCUGACGUGCAAAUCGCUCGUCUAACUGGG